rnacentral:misc_RNA from 1 species
UCCGAUUUAUCAUCGGCAGUCCCUCUAGAGUGCACAGCCUAACUGUUUGCAACUAAAGGCAAGGGUUGCGCUCGUUGCGGGACUUAACCCAACAUCUCACGACACGAGCUGACGACAACCAUGCACCACCUGUGUCCAUUGUACCCGAAGGUAAAGAUCUAUCUCUAGACCGGUCAAUGGCAUGUCAAGCCCUGGUAAGGUUCUUCGCGUUGCUUCGAAUUAAACCACAUGCUCCGCUGCUUGUGCGGGUCCCCGUCAAUUCCUUUGAGUUUCAUACUUGCGUACGUACUCCCCAGGCGGAGUGCUUAAUGCGUUAGCUGCGGCACCGAGGUUUGACCCCCGACACCUAGCACUCAUCGUUUACGGCGUGGACUAC